UACAGAUAUGAUACCUGUGAAAGGAAAGGAGGAGGAAAUCAAGAUUUAGCAGGAACUGAGGCAGAUCCUGAAGGUGCUGCACCUGGAGGAUGCCAACUCACUGCACCCCCUGCAUAUGAACAGCAGGUUCUUUCUUGAAGGGUGAUCUGAGGAGUGAACUUUCAUGACUGCCACAUCUGGGGAUCAGAUCUCACCUGGAAGUUACAGACAUUCAUUGUUUCAAUUGGCUGUGAAUGAGGCAGGUCUCGCAAAUUAGAAACCAGAGCUCAAUACGAGAAUCCUAAGUAGGUGGCAAUGUUAGAGCCUGGACUUUUGCACGCGUUGAAAAAGAAAAUACAUUGACCAGUCUUUGAAAGAUAGAAAAUAAGAUGACUCUUACCACAUGAAGAUUAAUUAGUGGGGUAGAGGCCAGGCCAAGGAACUGAAGACAUGCUUGCUUUUUAAGGAUUGAUGUUAGUUAACAACAUACGUAAUUUAGAAAAUUGGGUUUGAGAACCUUAUGCCAUUGGGAUUUUUUUAACUGCAAUUUUCAUUGAGAUUAUCGUAGAUCCCUUUGCAGCUGCAAAAAAUAAUGCAGAGAAUUCCGUGUACACUUUAUCAAGUUUCCCCUGAUGGUAACAUUUUGCAAAAGCAUAAUAUCACAACCAAGAUAUUGAUAUUGAUAUAAUCCACUGAUCUUAUUCAGAGUUCCCUAGUUUUACCUGUACUCAUUUCUCUGUUUGUGUGUGUGUGUGUAUGUGCACGUGUGUGUGUGUGUGACACCACCAUCACAGUCAAGAUACUGAACAUCUCCAUCACCACAAGAUCCCUCAUAUUGCAGCCUCACUCACUUUGCUCCCACAUUUUUAUCCCUAUCUGUAGCCCCUGACAAUUACCAAUCUUUUCUCCAUUUCUCAAAAUUUCUCCCUUCAAAAACAUUAGAUACAUAAUUAAAUCAUCCAUUAUGUAACCACUUGAGAUUGGCUUUUUCACUCUGCAUAAUGCCCUUGAGAUUCACCCAAGUUGUUGCAUGUAUCAAUAGUGU
rnacentral:lncRNA from 1 species